rnacentral:rRNA from 1 species
UACAGAGGGGGCAAGCGUUGUUCGGAAUUACUGGGCGUAAAGGGCGCGUAGGCGGCCUGCUAAGUCGAACGUGAAAUCCCCGGGCUCAACCUGGGAACUGCGUUUGUGACUGUGUGACUAGAGUACGGCAGAGGGGGGUGGAAUUCCUGGUGUAGCAGUGAAAUGCGUAGAUAUCAGGAGGAACAUCGAUGGCGAAGGCAGCCCCCUGGGCCUGUACUGACGCUCAUGCACGAAAGCGUGGGGAGCAAACAGG